rnacentral:rRNA from 1 species
GAUCCUGGCUCAGGAUUAACGCUGGCGGCGCACAUAAGACAUGCAAGUCGAACGGACUUAAUCGAUUCUUUUAGAUUCGAAGCGGUUAGUGGCGGACUGGUGAGUAACACGUAAGGAACCUGCCUAUUAGAGGGGAAUAACAACGAGAAAUCGUUACUAAUACCGCAUAAGCUAGUAGUACCGCAUGGUACAGCUAGAAAAGGAGAAAUCCGCUAAUAGAUGGCCUUGCGUCCGAUUAGCUAGUUGGUGGGGUAACGG